rnacentral:rRNA from 1 species
AUCCAGACUCCUACGGGAAGCAGCAGUGAGGAAUAUUGGUCAAUGGCCGGAAGGCUGAACCAGCCAUGCCGCGUGAAGGUCAGUGCCCUAUGGGCGUUAAACUUCUUUUGCGCGGGAGCAAUAAUGGUCACGUGUGGCCAGACGAGAGUACCGUACGAAUAAGCAUCGGCUAACUCCGUGCCAGCAGCCGCGGUAAUACGGAGGAUGCGAGCGUUAUCCGGAUUUAUUGGGUUUAAAGGGUGCGCAGGCGGUCUGUUAAGUCAGUUGUGAAAGUUUGCGGCUCAACCGUAAAAUUGCAGUUGAAACUGGCAGUCUUGGGUACAGUAGAGGUGGGCGGAAUUCGUGGUGUAGCGGUGAAAUGCUUAGAUAUCACGAAGAACUCCGAUUGCGAAGGCAGCUCACUGGACUGCAACUGACACUGAGGCUCGAAAGUGUGGGUAUCAAACAGGAUUAGAUACCCGAGUAUG